GGGGAAAUUCAAUAAUGCCCGUUAAACGGCAUUGUGCACUUUUCUUCCAGUAAGACGCUGUGAUCCAUUAGAAAUUGGACCAUUCCAUGUGGUCGUUGGGCUAUCAAUAGGCCGACAUGAAGUUCAUUGGUGCAAAUGGCGUGGUCCUUUACGGCCGCGUGUAUUGCCCGGCGAGCGUGUCGUCACCUGAAAUAGCUGUCUGAUGGAUUUUAAAGGUCAUACCACUGAUGCUUCGGCACCACCCAUCACGAUGGGAGUUUGGUAUGUGCCCGAUCAACAGCGGUUAAAUUUGCGAUACCUUUGGGACCCGUCUUGAAACACGGACCAAGGAGUCUAUCUAGUAUGCAAGUAAAUGGGUAUAUGAAACCUAUUUGCAUAAAAAACUUGACUUUUAUGGGAUUACGAGUCCAUGUCACAGUGGGCUCCUCCAUCCCGGGGUAUUUUCGCCAACAUAUGCAGCAAUGUAUAUGGAAAAUAUACCACGAGCGUACUGGAUAUGACCCGAAAGAUGGUGAACUAUGCCUGAUCAGGUUGAAGUCAGGGGAAACCCUGAUGGAGGACCGUAGUUGUUCUGACGUGCAAAUCGAUAACGCGAGUUGGGC
rnacentral:rRNA from 1 species